CCUACGGGAGGCAGCAGUUGGGAAUUUUGCACAAUGGACGAAAGUCUGAUGCAGCAACGCCGCGUGCGGGAUGAAGAUUUUCGGAUUGUAAACCGCUUUUAUUUGGGAGUAACUGUUUGAACGUACCAAAUGAGUAAGCACCGGCUAACUCCGUGCCAGCAGCCGCGGUAAUACGGAGGGUGCAAACGUUGUCCGGAAUUACUGGGCGUAAAGCGCAUGUAGGUGGUCUAAUAAGUGAACGAUUAAAUACCGACGCUUAACGUCGGAAAGGUUAUUCAUACUGUUAGACUCGAGGAAGACAGGGGCAGAUGGAACUUUAAGUGUAGGAGUGAUAUCCGUAGAUAUUUAAAGGAACACCAAUGGCGAAGGCAGUCUGCUGGGUCUUUUCUGACACUGAGAUGCGAAAGUGUGGGGAGCAAACGGGAUUAGAUACCCCGGUAGUCCACACUGUAAACGAUGCUCACUAGGUCUUGGAGGGUAUCGACCCCCUUUUGGACCGAAGCUAACGCGUUAAGUGAGCCGCCUGGGGAGUACGAACGCAAGUUUAAAACUCAAAUGAAUUGACGG
rnacentral:rRNA from 1 species